UACGUAGGCAGCAAGCGUUGUUCGGAAUUACUGGGCGUAAAGAGUGUGUAGGCGGUGCUCUAAGUUCGGUGUGAAAUCUCCUGGCUUAACUGGGAGGGUGCGCCGGAAACUGGGGUGCUCGAGCGUGGGAGAGGAAAGCGGAAUUCCUGGUGUAGCGGUGAAAUGCGUAGAUAUCAGGAGGAACACCAAUGGCGAAGGCAGCUCGCUGGGACGGUACUGACGCUGAGGCGCGAAAGCGUGGGGAGCAAACAGG
rnacentral:rRNA from 1 species